rnacentral:rRNA from 1 species
CCUACGGGAGGCAGCAGUGAGGAAUAUUGGUCAAUGGUCGCGAGACUGAACCAGCCAAGUCGCGUGCAGGAUGACGGUCCUAUGGGUUGUAAACUUCUUUUAUGGGGGGACAAAAUGCGCCACGCGUGGCGUUUCGUAGGUACCCGAAGAAAAAGGAUCGGCUAACUCCGUGCCAGCAGCCGCGGUAAUACGGAAGGUCCGAGCGUUAUCCGGAUUUAUUGGGUUUAAAGGGGGCGGAGGCGGCAAGUUAAGCGUGGCGGUAAAUUUGGUGGCUCAACCUUCUCCAAGCGGUGCAAACUGGCUUUCUUGAGUGAGCGAGACGUAUGCGGAAUGCGUGGUGUAGCGGUGAAAUGCAUAGAUAUCACGCAGAACUCCGAUUGCGAAGGCAGCAUACCGGAGCGCAACUGACGCUGAUGCACGAAAGCGUGGGUAUCGAACAGGAUUAGAUACCCGGGUAGUC